UAAGAGGCCAUGAAGCUUUGGCCUGGCCCCUUGAGAUGCUUGCUCUGGUGGGGAAGUCAGCCCCCACGUAAGAAAUUCAACGCCUCCAUGAUGCACAGGCACCUGUAGAUGGUCCAGUUGACAGUCCCAGGCUCCGCCCAGCCGACAACCAGUAUCAGCUGCCAGCCGAGUGAGUGCGUCUUCUUGGACAUCCAGCCCAGUCGAGCUUUCAGAUGAUGGCAGCCCCACCCAACAACUGCCUGGGAAACCCCCAGCGAGACCUGCCCAGCCACCGGGUGACACCUGAGUUUCAGGAUGGCUGGCUGCUGAGCUCACAUGUACCUGGACAGUCAAGUUCCUGGUUCAAGUCCAAGAGGAAGGCAGGAGCGUGGCCAGGUGGCUCAGGAGAAGGUUGGGCCAGGUGAGCUGGAACGCGUGAAGUCACCGGGCAUGGACACCUUCUCCUUCCUCUCACCCUGUGCUCUGGGCGGAUGUCGGGGCUCUAGGCCGCACACAGCUUUAUCCCUUCAAUGUGAUCCAGAGAGUGAGUCAGAGAGCAGUGUUUGGACAAGGCUGCUAUAUAUCAUUUGGCUCAUUGAUUGGGAGGACUCUGUAUGCUCUUUCUUAAUAUCCUGAGUCUACCUA